GUUGACCCGGACGCUAAAGGAAAAGUUCAUUGUCCCGAAGAGCUAUGUCAUCCUUGGAUUUGAUGGCUUCACUGUGUACUCCUUUUUAUUUGAAAGAAAAAAGAAGCCAACUGAAAAGAGAUCUGAGCGCUGAUCCCCGUGAGAAAGGACAAAGUCACAUCCAAAGAAGCCGUUAUGCUGCCUUUGUUCCUGGACUCUACAGAGAUCCAUAUCCAGUGUGAAACAUCUCUCUGAUCACGUAUUAGAAGUCAG
rnacentral:lncRNA from 1 species